rnacentral:rRNA from 1 species
AGAGUUUGAUCAUGGCUCAGAUUGAACGCUGGCGGCAUGCCUUACACAUGCAAGUCGAACGGCAGCACGGGUACUUGUACCUGGUGGCGAGUGGCGAACGGGUGAGUAAUACAUCGGAACGUACCUUAUCGUGGGGGAUAACACAGCGAAAGCUGUGCUAAUACCGCAUACGCCCUGAGGGGGAAAGCGGGGGAUCGAAAGACCUCGCGCGAUUAGAGCGGCCGAUGCCUGAUUAGCUUGUUGGUGGGGUAAAAGCCCACCAAGGCGACGAUCAGUAGCUGGUCUGAGAGGACGAUCAGCCAUACUGGGACUGAGACACGGCCCAGACUCCUACGGGAGGCAGCAGUGGGGAAUUUUGGACAAUGGGGGCAACCCUGAUCCAGCACUGCCGCGUGAGUGAAGAAGGCCUUCGGGUUGUAAAGCUCUUUUGUCAGGGAAGAAAACACCCGGCUCUAACACAGUCCGGGAAUGACGGUACCUGAAAAAUAAGCACCGGCUAACUACGUGCCAGCAGCCGCGGUAAUACGUAGGGGGCAAGCGUUAAUCGGAAUUACUGGGGCGUAAAGCGUGCGCCGGCGGUUAUACAAGACAGGCGUGAAAUCCCCCGGCCUUACCUGGGAAAUGGGCGCCUGUGACUGUAUAGCUAGAGUGUGGCAGAGGGGGUAGAAUUCCCACGUGUAGCAGUGAAAUGCGUAGAUAUGUGGAGGAAUACCAAUGGCGAAGGCAGCCCCCUGGGAUAACACUGACGCUCAUGCACGAAAGCGUGGGGGAGCAAACAGGGUAGAAUACCCUGGUGGUCCACGCCCCUAAACAAGCUGACUAGUUGUCGGGAUUUAC